GGCUCAGGAUGAACGCUGGCGGCGUGCCUAACACAUGCAAGUCGAACGAAGAGGCCCCUUCGGGGGUACUUCAGUGGCGGACGGGUGAGUACAACAUAGGUGACCUGCCCCAAAGCGGGGGAUAACAGUCCGAAAGGAUUGCUAAUACCCCAUGUGGUCAUUGGGAUUUGAUGCUCAAUGACUAAAGGAGUAAUCCGCUUUGGGAGGGGCCUGUGGCCCAUCAGCUUGUUGGUAGGGUAAUGGCCUACCAAGGCUACGACGGGUAGGGGGCCUGAGAGGGUGACCCCCCACAUUGGCACUGACACACGGGCCAAACUCCUACGGGAGGCAGCAGUGAGGAAUAUUGCACAAUGAGCGAAAGCUUGAUGCAGCAACGCCGCGUGAGCGAUGAAGGCCUUCGGGUCGUAAAGCUCUUUUGAGAGAGACGAGAUAGGACGGUACCUCUCGAAUAAGUCACGGCUAACUACGUGCCAGCAGCCGCGGUAAAACGUAGGUGGCGAGCGUUAUCCGGAUUCACUGGGCGUAAAGCGAGUGCAGGUGGUUUUGUAAGUUGGAUGUGAAAUUUCCCGGCUUAACCGGGAAAGGUCAUUCAAUACUGCAGGACUUGAGGGCAAAAGAGGGGGGUGGAAUUGCCGGUGUAGUGGUGAAAUGCGUAGAUAUCGGCAGGAACACCUGUGGCGAAAGCGGCCCCCUGGUUUGCUCCUGACACUCAGACUCGAAAGCUAGGGUAGCGAACGGGAUUAGAAACCCCGGUAGUCCUAGCCGUAAACGAUGGAUGCUAGGUGUAGGUGGUAUUGACCCCAUCUGUGCCGAAGCUAACGCGUUAAGUGCCCCGCCUGGGGAGUACGGUCGCAAGACUGAAACUCAAU
rnacentral:rRNA from 1 species